rnacentral:ncRNA from 1 species
UGUUAUAAUGCUCCAUGUGAUUUCCUAUCAAAUAAAGACAAAAUUAAAUUUUAAUUAUUAAGAGGGACAGACGAUGGCAUUCGUACUUUGCCGUUAGAGGUAAAGUUUUAGAUCGGCGCAAGAUGAACAACUGCGAAAGCAUUUGCAAAGAAUCUUUUCUUC